AUACAGAGGGUGCGAGCGUUAAUCGGAUUUACUGGGCGUAAAGCGUGCGUAGGCGGCUUUUUAAGUCGGAUGUGAAAUCCCCGAGCUUAACUUGGGAAUUGCAUUCGACACUGGGAAGCUCGAGUAUGGGAGAGGAUGGUAGAAUUCCAGGUGUAGCGGUGAAAUGCGUAGAGAUCUGGAGGAAUACCGAUGGCGAAGGCAGCCAUCUGGCCUAAUACUGACGCUGAGGUACGAAAGCAUGGGGAGCAAACAGGAUUAGAUACCCCAGUAGUCC
rnacentral:rRNA from 1 species